rnacentral:tRNA from 1 species
GCCUGGGUGGCUCAAUUGGUUGAGCUCUGACUUCGGCUCCGGUCAUGCCCUCAGGCUCGUGGGUUCAAGCCCCACAUCGGGCU